rnacentral:tRNA from 1 species
GGGUAUAUAGGUCAGUGGUAGAUCACGUGCUCAGCAUGCACAAGGUCCUGGGUUCAACCCCCAGUACCUCCA